UACGUAGGGUGCGAGCGUUAAUCGGAAUUACUGGGCGUAAAGCGUGCGCAGGCGGUCUGUUAAGACCGAUGUGAAAUCCCCGGGCUUAACCUGGGAACUGCAUUGGUGACUGGCAGGCUUUGAGUGUGGCAGAGGGGGGUGGAAUUCCGCGUGUAGCAGUGAAAUGCGUAGAGAUGCGGAGGAACACCGAUGGCGAAGGCAGCCCCCUGGGUCGACACUGACGCUCAGGCACGAAAGCGUGGGGAGCAAACAGG
rnacentral:rRNA from 1 species